AAUCCCCAAGCGACAGCCGGCUGCCGCAUAACAAUUGAAAAUCUAUUGUAUCUGCGAUACCCAUGAUGGAGUUGUCAACUUAGAUAAAUA